GAUGAACGCUGGCGGCGUGCCUAAUACAUGCAAGUCGAGCGAACAGAUGAGGAGCUUGCUCCUCUGACGUUAGCGGCGGACGGGUGAGUAACACGUGGAUAACCUACCUAUAAGACUGGGAUAACUUCGGGAAACCGGAGCUAAUACCGGAUAAUAUAUUGAACCGCAUGGUUCAAUAGUGAAAGACGGUUUUGCUGUCACUUAUAGAUGGAUCCGCGCCGCAUUAGCUAGUUGGUAAGGUAACGGCUUACCAAGGCAACGAUGCGUAGCCGACCUGAGAGGGUGGUCGGCCACACUGGAAGUGAGACACGGUCCAGACUCCUACGGGAGGCAGCAGUAGGGAAUCUUCCGCAAUGGGCGAAAGCCUGACGGAGCAACGCCGCGUGAGUGAUGAAGGUCUUCGGAUCGUAAAACUAUGUUAUUAGGGAAGAACAAAUGUGUAAGUAACUAUGCACGUCUUGACGGUACCUAAUCAGAAAGCCACGGCUAACUACGUG
rnacentral:rRNA from 1 species